AACGAACGCUGGCGGCAUGCCUAACACAUGCAAGUCGAACGAGACCUUCGGGUCUAGUGGCGCACGGGUGCGUAACGCGUGGGAACAUGCCCUUAGGUUCGGAAUAACUCCCCGAAAGGGGUGCUAAUACCGGAUAAUGUCUUCGGACCAAAGCUUUAUCGCCUUUGGAUGGGCCGGCGUUGGAUUAGCUAGUUGGUAGGGUAAAAGCCUACCAAGGCGACGAUCCAUAGCUGGUCUGAGAGGCUGAUCAGCCACACUGGGACUGAGGCACGGCCCAGACUGCGACGGGAGGCAGCAGUGGGGAAUAUUGGACAAGGGGCGAAAGCCUGAUCCAGCAAUGCCGCGUGAGUGAUGCAGGUCUUAGGGUUGUAAAGCUCUUUUACCCGGGAUGAUAAUGACAGUACCGGGAGAAUAAGCACCGGCUAACUCCGUG
rnacentral:rRNA from 1 species